rnacentral:lncRNA from 1 species
CUUAAACACAUCAUCAGACAGUACAAUUUCCGGCCUUUUCCAUUUUGUUCCAUUUUCAGGAGCUGAGCAUGAUGAACGAGAAGUCGGAAGUGAGUCAGCAGGAUAGCACUUAGAGCCUAAAAAAGCAAGCAGGACAUCAGAAUGCAUAAGCAGGAAUAUAAUGUGCAGGAAGUGGGAGGUGAUCUUCCCUUUCUUCCAAGAACUGGCUCACCCCAUAAGUUGUCUGCAGAGACUUUGCAGAACUUGGACCAGGCCCAGGAAGAUUAAAGGACUACAAAAGGAGCAACUCAUAUUCAACAGUGCUGGGUGCUCAACACCUGUUCUCUCAUGUGAUCAAUCAUCAAUAUGUCCCAUUUUGCAAAUGAAGAAACAGACUCAGGAAGGCAAGCCUUGUGGUGGCACUCCAGCAGUUUUCCACAGGGAAAUCCUCUUCUGGGUCAAGGCUGCAUCAUGGGAGCCUUUGAGCUCUUGCUUCUGUCUCCUCGCAGGACCCUGA